GUCUACGGCCAUACCACCCUGAACGUGCCGGAUCUCGUCUGAUCUCGGAAGCUAAGCAGGGUUGGGCCUGGUUAGUACUUGGAUGGGAGAAAGAUACAGGGGUCUUCUAGGCC
rnacentral:rRNA from 1 species